UACGGAGGGUGCAAGCGUUGUCCGGAAUCACUGGGCGUAAAGGGCGCGUAGGCGGCUCAUGAAGGCUGUGGUGAAAGUCCGGGGCUCAACCUCGGAUCGGCCGUGGCGACUCGUGGGCUGGAGCACUGUAGAGGCGGGUGGAAUUCCGGGUGUAGCGGUGGAAUGCGUAGAUAUCAGGAGGAACACCGGCGGUGUAGACGGCUUUCUGGGACCGUAGCUGACGCUGAGACACGAAAGCGUGGGUAGCAAACAGG
rnacentral:rRNA from 1 species